CAAGAACUGGGAACAGGAAUUCGAUCUCCCCCAGUUAUUAUUCUCUCAUUCAUCUGCUCAUGCAGUGCUUGUUGAAUGUGAACCAUGUGCCAGGCAUGGUUGCAGGUGCUGAGGCUCAAAAGAUGGACAGGACAAUUUCCCUGCCUCGGGACACUUGCAGUGCAGUGAGAGAGCCAAUGAGCAGUGCCUUACAGCCCAGAGUGCUAAAUGCUGCGACCGGAGUGGGCGCCGCGUCCAUGGGGACACAAAGAAAGGGUACCGGAGCGGAUUCUGUUGCUCCCCGACUCCUAGCACCCACACUUCCUUCCAGGUAGCACUCCGAGUUUCUUUGAAAGUUGCCUCUCCACGUAAUGACUGAAUUGGAGGGAAAGAUAUCCAGUCUUGGAUACUUCUAGACUCAAGAGAUGGAGGCAGAAGGAAUUGGACAGAAGCUCCCGAAGAAUGUGCUGGUGCUCAGUUCCAUGCCUUCAGGCGUGGCAGGAGGUUGAGCAGACACCCCAUCCACCUGAUCCCUCACCACAAUCUAGAAACACCUAAUUUGUACCGUUACAUGAGUGACAUGUAUAGCUUUAUUGUGUGAAGCCACUAAAGUUUGGGCAGUUAUUACAGAACGAAGCGAUUCACGAAUAAACGAUGCCAGCCUCGGAA